UAUUGAUUUUGGGCUAUCUGU
rnacentral:siRNA from 1 species